rnacentral:rRNA from 1 species
UACGAAGGGUGCAAGCGUUACUCGGAAUUACUGGGCGUAAAGCGUGCGUAGGUGGUUGUUUAAGUCUGUUGUGAAAGCCCCGGGCUCAACCUGGGAACCGCAUCCAAAACUGGCAAGCUAGAGUACGGUAGAGGGUGGUGGAAUUUCCUGUGUAGCGGUGAAAUGCGUAGAUAUAGGAAGGAACACCAGUGGCGAAGGCGACCACCUGGACUGAUACUGACACUGAGGUGCGAAAGCGUGGGGAGCAAACAGG